CAGCGACGGUAGCAGCAGCAUGGCCGCGAUCUGUGGGGGUGUAGAGGGGGGAGGCACACGGUCCAAGGUCCUUUUAGUCUCAGAGGAUGGGAAGAUCCUGGCAGAAGCAGAUGGACUGAGCACAAACCACUGGCUGAUCGGGACAGACAAGUGUGUGGAGAGGAUCAAUGAGAUGGUGAACAGGGCCAAACGGAAAGCAGGGGUGGAUCCUCUGGUACCGCUGCGAAGCUUGGGCCUAUCUCUGAGCGGUGGGGACCAGGAGGACGCGGGGAGGAUCCUGAUCGAGGAGCUGAGGGACCGAUUUCCCUACCUGAGUGAAAGCUACUUAAUCACCACGGAUGCCGCCGGCUCCAUCGCCACAGCUACACCGGAUGGUGGAGUUGUGCUCAUAUCUGGAACAGGCUCCAACUGCAGGCUCAUCAACCCUGAUGGCUCCGAGAGUGGCUGCGGCGGCUGGGGCCAUAUGAUGGGUGAUGAGGGUUCAGGUGAGCUCACUGACUGGCCCAGCUCCAGGUCCUGGAUCUGCUCCUUCCUUCACUCCCUGUCUUUCUCUCCUUACCCUUGGCUCACUGAGCCCUUGGGGCUUCCUGGGGACAACUCCUGAACCUGGCCAUUCCAUGUGCAGGAUCAUGACUGAGAUCAUAGAGGUGCAAAUGCUGGACGAGCUGCUGACCCUGCUCUCCAGCAGUGACUUGCACCCAGGACUCAGAUUCAUCCCUCAGCACAGGGGCCUGCCUGUGUUGACUUGCUGUCCUUAGGGAGGAGUUGAAACUGAGGGUAAGGCCAUAGAUGCCAGGAGAUGCCAUACCAGUCUGCUAGGGGAAAGGGUGUAGAAGCCCUUCCAACAUCACCUCUCUCUAGGUAGUGUGUGCAUAUUUUCAUAGGGGCCCUUGAGGUCCAGUUCAUGGCAGUGACUCCAGUGGUAUUUGUGACAACAGACUGACCUUGUCUUAUCCUUGGGUAGGAGCUGGUGUGACACAGCCUCACCUAUUCUGUUUUCCCCCUCCAACUUUCCCUUAUCUUGGUCAGUCAGAUACAGUUUGAUAGAGACCCUCCCACCCCCCUCUCCCAUCCCCUGCCACCCCUGGCUGGGAAUCAGGAAACCUAAUUUGUAUAAAACUCAAGCAGAUCACUAACCUGUCUGGAUCUGAGUUUCCUUCCUCGUGAGCUCAGGAUGACUGCUCCCAUCUUCUUAGCCCUCUGUGCUCCCUGCAGCCUACUGGAUCGCACACCAAGCAGUGAAAAUAGUGUUUGACUCCAUUGACAACCUAGAGGCGGCUCCUCAUGAUAUCGGCUACGUCAAACAGGCCAUGUUCCACUAUUUCCAGGUGCCAGAUCGGCUAGGGAUACUCACUCACCUGUAUAGGGACUUUGAUAAAUGCAGGUUUGCUGGGUUUUGCCGGAAAAUUGCAGAAGGUACUGGAGGUGGGGGGUGGGGUUUUAUCUGGCUUUGUUCUCCAAAGAUCCCCAGUUGGGAGAUUGAGUGGGGUUCAGACAGGACUGACAACAAUUUUCCUCUCACCAAGUGACCUCAGUUCUCUGCCACCACUGGCCUUGGUGGUGGUGGUGGGCCUUGGGUUGGAGGCAGAAGGGCACGUGGGUCGUGUUGACAGUUUUGUAUUACCUGUGUUUUUUUCUUUAAUAGCUAUUAUGGCUUGCGUAGGCUGUAUACCUGUUUCUGAGGAAUUUAUGAAGCAGUUGUCCUUUGGACAAAUCUAUAACUUUUUUUUCCUAGCCAAUUAUACUCAAAGAACUAGGGGAUUAUAGAGAGGUUAGGCAUAUUUUGUUGGGUGUCAGGAGAGCUGAACAGAGGGCUUGUAUAUCUGUACAUUGCUCUUUCUCCACUGUGAGGUCCAUCCUGCCUUAAUUUGGGUUCCUGUAGCCUCAGGGCAUUCUAGGGCUCUCUUAGAUCCUGCUGGACUGAGUCCCCUCUAGAAAAGAACCAGGAACAUGCUAACCAACAGCAGACUGUUAGAAGUCGGUGGAGGGCACUGACAGGAGUACCAGCCAGCUGUUCAGCUAGGGUCCUGGCUCCCCAGAGCUGACAGCCUCAUAGGAACAGACUUACAGUAACUCAGUGUGAGCUGGAUGCAUACUAGGUGCCAGUACAUUCCUUUAGUGGGUGCUGCCCUCCCUUCCUGAGUUGGGGGACUGAGUGAGCACCUCUGUACAGGGCACCCCUCUACAGAGGGAGGUAGCUGGUAUGUUUGUCAGUGGAGACUUGCUUCUCCACCUGCCACGAGGCGGACAUCCACCCUGAGUAGACUCCUGCUAGCUCAGGGUGCUCCCGUGAUGGCUGCCUUGCAACAGAGAGAGGAUAGCCCAGGAAUGGCAGCUCCCUCCUUUCUCACCAGUUCCCUUCUUCCAUCCUGCCUACCCCAGGUGCUCAGCAGGGAGACCCCCUUUCCCGCUAUAUCUUCAGGAAGGCUGGGGAGAUGCUGGGCAGACACAUUGUAGCAGUGUUGCCCGAGAUUGACCCGGUCUUGUUCCAGGGCGAGAUUGGACUCCCCAUCCUGUGCGUGGGCUCUGUGUGGAAGAGCUGGGAGCUGCUGAAGGAAGGUUUUCUUUUGGCGCUGACCCAGGGCAGAGAGAUCCAGGCUCAGAACUUCUUCUCCAGCUUCACCCUGAUGAAGCUGAGGCACUCCUCCGCUCUGGGUGGGGCCAGCCUAGGGGCCAGGCACAUCGGGCACCUCCUCCCCAUGGACUAUAGCGCCAAUGCCAUUGCCUUCUAUUCCCACACCUUCUCCUAGGGGGCUGGUCCUGGCUCCACCCACUCCAAGCUCAGUGGACACUGGGUCUGGAAGGAAGGAGUCUUUUGCUUCCUUUCUCCUUUUUAGAAAAACAAACAUAGAAGAAAAUAAA
rnacentral:sRNA from 1 species